AGCAGAUGAAGAAAAAGAGGGAGAAUGGAGAAUUAUAUGUCAGAGAAUUUUAUGGAUCUUACUGAUUUCUGAUGUCUGGAAGCAUGGUGGAGCAACACACUUCUGAAGGGAGAGCAGGUGCUCUAGUGAAGUUUUCCACAAAAGAAGAAACUGGUGUGCUCUUUGUCUACCUCACCAACUUCCCUUCAGCCCUUGGGGAGUGUAGAAGACCUCCAUGUUCAUCAGGGCUCCAUUUUAAGGAGAGAACAGAAGUUGGAGGAUAAGGUGGAAGUUCUGAUUGAUGUGGACCAGAUAAGGUGACAUCCGGCCAAAGAGGAAGCUGGGAGCCACAGACUGCUAAUAGGAUGAAGGAAGACGCAGCUCCCCCUCUGUGGGGUCAUCAGAGAUGGAGGGGGCUGGCAUAAGGAUGAACAUCUGCCUCCAAAACCAUGUAACUCCAUACACCACAUCAUCUAAUAGGAGACCAACAUAUUGUCAGAGGCCACCAGCAACAGAGGGAAGCAGCUGUGUUGUCAGUCCAUCUCCUGAUGAAGCAAGGGCAGUUUGAAUGCUGAAUGGAGGUGGAUGAGGAAGGGGAACACUAUGUGAAAAUAUUUGUUUUACGCAGAUGAAAUGUUGGUUCAGAACGCACGGAACUACAUCCAGGGAGGCCGCGAGGAACCCAAGGGGAGCAGAUAAUGACAUGGUCCGCAAUGCACUUAAGGAGUUGGCAGAGUUUGGGAUCGGGGAUUCUGCGCGUGUGUGGAUAAUCAGCAUUCAGGAGAAGGUGUAG